GAAAUGUUGCACGAUAUCAGUAUCUAGACUAGGCAUGUCUUCAUACGAACAGGCAAAGACGUCGACAUAUUCUCAUAGCAACUCAAUCAACCCCUUCUUGACAGACUCUUCCAGGAGUGCCCCAAUCUUCACUUCACAAAUGCAGUCUUCAGACCCCAAGUUGACUAUUUCCAGAUUCUCAAGAUGUGGCUGAAUGAUUU
rnacentral:lncRNA from 1 species